GUCUUGACUCUACAGAACUUUUUGUCUCAUUGAUAAUGUUGCUCCUUGUCCUCAUGACAUUUUCCCUUUGUAAGGAUAAUGUUGAUGCUGAAUUGAUAACAUCAUUCUUCACAAAGCAGCAUGUUUUGGCAGGAAGAGAUGUUACACUUUCCUGCAACUACAGUGGUAAUGUUCGCAGUCUGCAGUGGUACCGUCAGCAUCCCGGAUCCAAACCUGAAAAUAUAAUUUAUUACACUGAGAGCAGCAGUCAGUCAGAGCCCAAGCUUCGUCUGUACGCUGUGGCCGAUAAAGGAAUCAAACUUAUGAAUCUGAGCAUAUCUUCUACACAAAUGGAUGAUUCUGCUCUGUACUACUGUGCUCUGCAGCCCACAAAGCCUGGAUCAAAACCAGAGUUUCUGCUGCUGAUUGUUGAGUCCACUAAAUAUGUCAACAAAGCUGACCAACCUCAUCCACAUAUGUCCAUCAGACUCCGUAAUGAUAAACGUGUGGAUCUGGAGAUCUCCUCUGCUGCUGUAUCAGACUCUGCAGUGUAUUAA